UCCUACGGGUGGCUGCAGUGGGGAAUAUUGCGCAAUGGGGGAAACCCUGACGCAGCGACGCCGCGUGAGCGAAGAAGGCCUUAGGGUUGUAAAGCUCUGUUUUAAGGGACGAAUGUUACGGGGAGUAAUAUGCCCUGUAAAUGACGGUACCUUAAGAGGAAGCCCCGGCUAACUACGUGCCAGCAGCCGCGGUAAGACGUAGGGGGCGAGCGUUGUCCGGAAUUACUGGGCGUAAAGAGCACGUAGGCGGGAACUUAAGUCAGGUGGGAAAGACCGGGGCUCAACUCCGGGGUGGCACUUGAAACUGGGUUUCUUGAGGGCAGGAGAGGAAAGCAGAAUUCCUGGUGUAGCGGUGAAAUGCGUAGAAAUCAGGAGGAAUACCAGUGGCGAAGGCGGCUUUCUGGACUGACCCUGACGCUGAGGUGCGAAAGCGUGGGUAGCAAACAGGAUUAGAUACCCGAGUAGUCA
rnacentral:rRNA from 1 species